CUGACGAAUCAGACGGUCCAGGCACAGUGCCUGCUCCCUAGGGGGCAGGCCCCCCAGACAACAGUGACACAGCAGAAAACAUGGCUCAGGAUGGGAAAGCACCUCAGAGGGGCCGGGUGGCCUGCUGGAGGAGGAGAGGAUGCCUGCACCAAGUCUUCAAAGAUAAGUAAAGCUGGUAGCAGAGAGUGGAAAGGUAGAAGGCACAGCAAAUAUAAGGCUGGAGGCUGGAAACAGCAUGAGGCAUGGGGAAGCUGGGCAGGCCAGUGUUGCUAGAGCAUCAUGUGGGAGCUGAGCUUGUAGCAAGGAAGCUGGAGAACCAGGAGGGGCCAGGUCAAGGGGGACCUUGAAUAUCAUGCCUCAGACGGCUGUUCUCCUAUUGUCCAGGCAAGAGUCAUUUCCAGGGGCUGUGAGGAUGCCGUUCAGACUGUGCCAAGAGCAGUGAUGCCUUUGUGAUGCUAAGAGCUGGCGCUUUGACCCUCAGCCCGACAUGAGAGCACGCAGGGAUGGACAUGAGGCAGGGAGGCGAGGAGUGGGGCAGCCAGAAGACAGGUCCUCAUUGGUCAGCUGCCUGGGGGCACCAAUUCCCAUGGUAUUUAGAAUCUUCAGGGCCUGGUGGUCCUUGGCUCAGAGGACAGUGAGGCUGUGACAGUCUCUCUCUGCCUUUCACAGGGUUCACCUGCUAGGGGUUUCUGACAGCCCCCAAGGGGCAUUCGGCUAAUGGGAAUGGGCUUGGGCUCCAGCGGUGACCAUCUGCCCCGCUCUUUGUUUCCUUGGGGAGGGGGCGUACCGGAGAUGUCAGACGCAGAGCCACAUUCCGGCACAGGUUUCUCUCCAUCCCCCCUCCCAGGUCACAGUGUGGACUGACACCAACUGGGAAAGGCUGAUGCAAGCAGGGCCCAGCUCUGCAGACCCAGAAUUGGAAAUGAGAGACCCAAGCUAGAAGCAGCGGAGAGAGGCAUGUCGUUCUGGAGGCCGAGAGAGGCCAGAGGGCCACAGUGGGCCACAAGGGGCUCUGAGAAUGCUGGAGCCGCGAGAAAAAGUCUGGGUGAGGGAGGGAGGAAGCCCACUGGUCGAAACAUUAAAAUGAAACGGCCCUAGAUUCCAUAGACAGAGCUCAGCCAGGUCCCCGCACGGAGAGCAGGAGAGGGAAAAUCCGGACCCCUCAAAGCCACUCAUCACCCCAGGCUGAACUUCCACGAUCUCUGCCUUGGGCAGUUCCAGAAAUGCACACAGGACUGUGUGGCCUGGGGCCUGUGCUCUCAGAAGCAGCAUCAUCUGCCAGGUCAAUGUGAAAUCCCCAGCCCUGGGCAUUCACGCACAACACUCAAGUGAUCUCAUGCAUUCCUGGGUGACAGCGCCGGGGCCACAGCCCCCAUAGGCAGGAGCCAGCGCCAGGGGCCGUCCCAGCAAAUGCGAGGUGGUGCUCUGAGAUCAUCGUCAUGAGAGCUGCCAUCUCUGCAACGUGCCAGGUCUGGGGCCCGUGGCCCACACGCACCUUCUCACAUGUUCCCCCGGCGACACCUGGGGGAAAUAUCCACGCCUCCAUCGUGCUGCGGAGAGAACUAAAGCACAGAGAGGUGGGGAGACUGCUCAGCAAGUGCUGAGGCUGGAUUUGAACUCCUGUUUGCCUGGCCCUCAAGUCUGCCCUCCUGACCACAUGCUUUGCAGCAAAUGGGGCUGACCGAGAAGGGACAGAGGGACUUCCCACAAUGCAUGGGACGCAACCAUGGGUUGGCAUGCGGUGUCCUUGGCGUGCCCAAAUCAGAAGAGGGAAAUCCACUUGAGGGGGCAAGGAUGGAUAGGGGCACAGCGGCUCAAGGCCCACAGGACGCAUACAGGCCCAGCCUCGGAGAGGCAGAAGGGAGCGGGAAGGCGAGGGGAGGUCUUGCGGCCCAGGCCCAGGAGUGAGCCAGAAAACCUGUGCUCUGGGCCCACAUGUGCCUCUUGCUGGCUGUGUGACACAGGGCAUGUGUCCUCACCUCUCUGAACCUCUGCUCCAAUGUCUGCACAGCAAGGAAGUUAGGGAGAGGGAGGAGCCGUCUGUCCAAAGGUGCCUGGCACAGCGGAGGCCCUGCAAACCUUUACCCUCUCACUUCCUCCCCUCCCUUUUUCCUUCCCUCUCACCUUCCCUGGCUCCUUCCUUCUUUACCUCUCUUUCUUCGUCUUUAUUUUCUCCCUCUCCACCCCCUUCUUGGAAACUUCUUUUCAGAGGCUUUGCAGAGCCCCAGUCCCCCUUCCAGGGGACCGCACUGCCCUGUAGGACACCCAGCGGACAGCUGACUCCCAGCCUUCAGCAAGUUUUGACCUUCAGUGGGUUUUGGGGGGUGGGGCGAGGCCCUGGGGGCCCCUCCCAGGUGCUCUGCGCAGCCACAAAGGCCGCCUUCCAGCAGGGCCAGAAAAAGCAGGGCUCCCAAUCCCCCACAGACUAAACCUAGCAACAGUCAGCGUUCCUAUGGCAACCCAAGAUUUAUUUUUAGUCCUACUUUAACAUUAACAUGAUGUGAGGGGAUCUGAGACUUGCAUUACUCUCUUUUAAACAGCACCAAAAAAAGGGGAAGAAAGAAAAGCAAGAACGUCUCUUUGUGAGGAGGAUGAACCACCGGGGGGAACGUGGACGCCCAGCGGGUUUGCCGGGACUCGUCUCGGGGAAAGUCAGCGGCUCUCUGCCUCCCGUGGGGAGGCUUCGGGACGGGAUGGGAAGGACGAGGGGGUGUGAGCCGGGUCAGCCUAACCCAGGUGGAAACAGCUGUGGCCCUUCCCCUCCGCAGCUGCACGGCCAGAGCUGGGGGAGAUGAACCUCACUUUGCGAAGGGCCUCUGAACUUCCAGUCUAACCAGCGAGGGAAAGAAGAAAACCCAGGGGGGGGGGGGGGGGGGGGGGGCGCUAAAUGACCACGUGACCCGGGAUGCCGACCCCGGGGGAUUCCAGCCAGAUCCUCAGGGACUCAGAAGGAAGCAAGGGCUGGUGUCUGCCACCCUCCCCCCCGCCCCCCAGAGGACUCGGAGGUUGGAUGUCCCCGGGGAGAAGGCAGGGCUAGGGUGGGCGGAGGGCAGGGGCCGGGUACAGAUGGAGAGAUGGAGGCCGAGGACAGGAUGCUGGACACUGGCUGUGAGGAUGUGGGUUCAAACCCUGCUCUGUGCUCAGCCCGGGCCGCUUGAGGGCGGGGCAGACCCAGUGUGGAAGGUGCUGUUCUGGGCAAGAGAUGCUCGGGGUGGAAGAGACGCCCCAGGCUGGUUCUGGAACAGAGAACUGGAGACGGGCAGCCGGACGGAGCAGGAACGGCCUCUCUAGCUUUUCAGCUGUACAGCCUGGGAUCCUCUUUUGUAAAAUUAUCCGGUGUUGGUUGCUUUUUUCUGUCCAGUGAGGGCUCCUGGUUCCUCUGAUCAGAGAUGGUACCCGGAGCCCUAGGCCUGGCCGCUGAAAAUCCUCCAUCCUGGGCCAGCGUGAUUGGGCCAAGGAACGGGCACGUGACCACGCACGACCAAUCGGAGCCCUUCCCUGGACCGAGCCCCGGCCCCAGGAGAAAGAGGCUCUCCUGCCCGUGGCUGAGCAGGGGCUCCCCAGAGUCUGGGUCUUGGCCUCCAGGAAAUGGCACAGCAGCAGGAGGAGAAAAACAAGGCCGCCGGCAGAGAGAGGAAGGGACGGGCCGUUGACUGGCUGGCACCCACAUUGCUUCCUGCAGUUCUGGGCCUUUGGCAUUAGGCUCCUCGGUUUUCCCUUAAGGCCCUUUGAGUUGGCUUCUGCCUCUGACCAUUGAGCCAACCUGACUGAUCAGACUGUAGCUGGGAUUUCGCAGAGGGCAAAGCACCUUGGGAAGGGAGAAAGGAAAGAACCCUGAUUCUGCGCCUGCUGUAUAUUAGGCACCACGCCGGGGGAUCUGUUCCAGCGCUCAUAACCACCUUGGAAAUUAAAUAUUAGUAUUGCCUGCAAAGAGCCUGGGGCACAGAGAAGCAAAGUCACUUGCUCAAGGGCACACAGGCAGCAAAUGCCAGAGAUGCCCAGCCUGUGCUCCAGCCACAGCUGUUCCCCAGGCGUGCCGGGAGCUCUCCGGGUGCUGUGCCAUGCCAGGCUCCUGGUGUUCCUUCUGCCUGGAACGUCCUCCCCUCCUUGUCCACCAACUUAGCUGACAUCUUACCUUUCUCACCUUAGUUUUCUGUGACUCACAAUAUGCCCCCCCCCCCCCAACACACACGUGCCUGGCCCUUAACCCAGGUGCACUCUGUGCUCCCUGCCCUGGUCAAGGUCGUCGAUCCUGGAGGGAUGUGCAGGACUACAGCGGGAUUACAGGCCCCAUGCCCCUCCCUGCACAGACUCAGAGCCGCAGCAUCCCUGUGCGGCCCAGGCGCUUGGCCACCCCGAAAGAGGGUUUGACACAGUCAUUCACUUCUUUGCCUUUAAAGGAAAUGCCAGUAAACAGCUCUUCUGCUCUGACCCGAGCACAGACGGCGGGAUUUGAGGCCCUCGAGAGAGGGUGUCUGCAGGUCAGGGAGCCUCUGAGAAGUCUCCCGGUCACUGCGCGCGAUGAGAGGCUGCCCUCGGGUGGACCCGCAGCCGGCCUCCCCGCCCCCCCCCGGGCUCCAGCUGUUUUGAGAGUACAGAUGGGAUGGGUCGGGGUGGGGUCGGGAGAGAAAGCAGAUCCCGAACCUGGGGAGUGUCUCCCGCACGGCCAGGGCUGUAAUAUGCUGGCCCCCGAUAGUUCCCUGAGCAAGAAAAUUUCAGCCAAAAACCGGGGGACUUUUCCAUCUGGACAACAUCAGAUUCCUGUCUCAUUCAGGCUCAACGUAAACAAGGUGGGGCGGGAGUGGGGAGCAUUGGGUGACGAUGUGGGAGAGGGCUCGUCUCCAUCCCACCCCCACCCGCUGGGACCAGGAGCAGCAGCUCCCCAAGCCGAGCCCCAGAGCCGCAUCUCAGAGGGCGAGCCGGGGACCAGAUGCUCAGGAAGUCCCUCCCAGCUCUGCCCAUCGCAGCACCCACGGUGUGAAGGGGGCAACCUCACCAUGGCCGGGGGUGUGGGUGGGACCUCCACCAAAUUCCUGACCAUAAACCAGGCAAGCUGAGGCCUCAGCGAAGACUGGGACAUUGAUCUUUGUUAGGCCACCUCAAGAACACCCACCAACCAGCCAGGAUUCCAGGAGCCAGGUGGUCCUGCGUGAAAUCCCAGCUCCCCACCCUGUUGCUGUGUGACCUUGGCCCCCUGAGGCUGAGUCUCAGUUUCCAUUUCCGCCCCCAGGGUUUCCCAGGCCCCACCGUGGUCAGGGCCACGUUAUGACUUGUGUGGGCCCCGGGCACUUUGUCUUCCUGGCCCCUUACUCUAUAAAAAUUUACUAAAAAUGAUACCUUGGGACUGCAUUGGUAUAAAGAUGAAUGUAUUCAAAGUAGAUUAUAUUAAUUAUUUUUUAUGAUUUUACAAGAAAUGAGCACAUUUUCUUGGGCCCCUGAACGUCUAAGUGGGCCCUGGGCAUUGUGCCGCUGGUGCCUAGUGGAUGCCAGCCCUGGGUCCUGUGAUGUUUCUGACACACAAUUGUGCAACCUCAUAGCAGCUACUGAAUCGAGCUUCACACACCCCAGGGUGCACCCCUCUUUCUGACCAUCUUUGGGGAAGCCCUGUUGAGAUCAGCGUCUCCCACAGUGGGUUGGGGCUUGGAGACUGGGAGUCCCCGGGGGGUGAGGGGCUGGAUUAGGUCAGGUGAGGCUGGGGCCUGCUGAUUUUCAGUGCAGUCAGAUCCAGGGAGCCGGGUGGCUUGUGUUCCGGAGAACUGGGCAUCUGACUCCAGCACAUGUGG
rnacentral:lncRNA from 1 species